CGCCUGUUUAUCAAAAACAUCGCCUCUUGCAAACCCUAGAAUAAGAGGUCCUGCCUGCCCUGUGAUCAUGUAUUUAACGGCCGCGGUAUUUUGACCGUGCAAAGGUAGCGCAAUCACUUGUCUUUUAAAUGAAGACCUGUAUGAAUGGCACGACGAGGGCUUAACUGUCUCCCCUUUUUAGUCAAUGAAAUUGAUCUCCCCGUGCAGAAGCGGGGAUGAAAACAUAAGACGAGAAGACCCUGUGGAGCUUUAGACACCAAGGUACCCCGUGUCAAGCAAGCUUGAUAAACAGCUAGAACUAAUCGGACUUUAUCUUAUUGUCUUUGGUUGGGGCGACCGCGGGGUAAUAUAUAACCCCCACGUAGAAUGGGGGAACUUUUUCCCCCACAAGUUAGAGCCGCACCUCUACCUACCAGCACAGCUGACUAAAAGUGAUCCGGUAUUACCGAUCAACGAACCGAGUUACCCCAGGGAUAACAGCGCAAUCCUCUUUAAGAGCCCAUAUCGACAAGGGGGUUUACGACCUCGAUGUUGGAUCAGGACAUCCUAAUGGUGCAGCCGCUAUUAAGGGUUCGUUUGUUCAACGAUUAAAGUCCUACGUGAUCUGAGUUC
rnacentral:rRNA from 1 species